rnacentral:rRNA from 1 species
GACGAACGCUGGCGGCGUGCUUAACACAUGCAAGUCGAACGGUAAGGCCCUUCGGGUACGACGAGUGGCGAACGGGUGAGUAACACGUGGUGAUCUGCCCUGCACUUCGGGAUAAGCCUGGGAAACUGGGUCUAAUACCGGAUAGGACUCCUGGCUUCAUGGUUGGGGUGUAAAGCUUUGCGGUGUGGGAUGGGCCCGCGGCCUAUCAGCUUGUUGGUGGGGUAAUGGCCUACCAAGGCGACGACGGGUAGCCGGCCUGAGAGGGUGACCGGCCACACUGGGACUGAGAUACGGCCCAGACUCCUACGGGAGGCAGCAGUGGGGAAUAUUGCACAAUGGGCGCAAGCCUGAUGCAGCGACGCCGC